ACUAAUACAUGGAUACUGAAACCAUGAACAAUGAUUGAGGAUAAGAUAACAAACGAAAUGAUCGGCCAAAUUAUUUCAUUAAGUGUUGAAAAUACUGUAGUUGAUUCAUAAAUACUCUUUUCAAUUUCAUCCGGGGACAACAGUAAUUUUGCAAGAAAUGCCAUAUAAACUGCGCAAACCCCUAUUGGUCCGAAAUGUCCAACGAAAAGGGCUUCUUUCCAUGUCUUAAUGUCCGGAACUAAAGGCUUCACCGAAAAUACAACCGGUAAUCGACGACAAACUAGAGUCAAUAUGCUAAAGACAAUUAAACGCCAAACAGGCAAGCCUUCAACAGACCAAUUAAAAUUAUUCCAGGGAAUGAUUGUACCAUAAUAGGUAAAAAAUAGUAAACUAAAAGUCUGAUCAAUAAAAGCAGGUACAGAACAAGCAGAUAUAUUUUUGGAAAAUAAAUCAUUCCAGUUAAAUAAUAUUCCAGCAAAAAAGGACAUCAACAGGUCAUCAACUCCAAUAAUAGUUCCUAUCCCAGAACAUAAUAAAGGUAUCGCUAGCGGAAGGGAAUAAUAACUAAUAGCAUCAAUUAAACGGUAUUUCUGAGCGUGCUUUAAAAUGAACGAUAAAAGAUACCCUAUUACACACCCAAAAAAUAUACCAAAUGCACAUUCAUACAACACAACAAGCAGCACCCAAUCCCUCCCUGCAUUCCUCGAUGGCUUAACAGUAAGAAGUUUGAUAGCAAAAUAGAAAAAAGGAACCGCCAUUCCAUCAUUACAUCCAGACUCAGCGAUCAAUAAAGACCGAAUCCGUUCAGGAGUCUUUUUAGCUAAUGGACCUUCUCCUACAAUCAAUGCUGAUAGAACAGGAUCAGUAGAAGUUAUACAUCCUGCGAUCAGCAAAGAUCCUAAAAAGUUAAUUUGUGGAAACAAUGCAUAUGCAAAUCCAGCUGUAACUAACCACCCGUAAGCCAUAACUGGUAAUAGCAUUACAAUGAUGCUUCGAAAAUUAUGUUGAAAAUAUGCACCGGGGAGUUCUAUUGCAGAAGCAAACACACGCACAUCAAGUACGAUUCUACAAAUCUCUACUGUCAAGUAAUCUCCAUGGUCACCCCAGGAAAAAGGGUCUACGAGUUUAGCAGCAUGAGGCCCAAAUAUUAAUCCAGUGAUACUUCCAAGAACUACACACUAGUAUUAGUCUUAUUUUAUAUCAAUUGCUAAUUUUCAAAAACCACCCUAUACAAUAUCUUCAACGUACCAGCUUCUCCAACUAGUAAUUUUUUUCGAAAAACUUCUG